AUUGAACGCUGGCGGCAUGCCUAACACAUGCAAGUCAAACGGCAGCGCGGGGGCAACCCUGGCGGCGAGUGGCGGACGGGUGAGGAAUGCAUCGGAAUCUGCCUGGUUGUGGGGGAUAACGUAGGGAAACUUACGCUAAUACCGCAUACGACCUACGGGUGAAAGUGGGGGACCGCAAGGCCUCACGCGAUCAGAGGAGC
rnacentral:rRNA from 1 species